rnacentral:rRNA from 1 species
GAUGAACGCUGGCGGCGUGCUUAACACAUGCAAGUCGAACGGAAAGGCCCAAGCUUGCUUGGGUCCUCGAGUGGCGAACGGGUGAGUAACACGUGGGUGAUCUGCCCUGCACUUCGGGAUAAGCCUGGGAAACUGGGUCUAAUACCGGAUAGGACCACAUGUUGGUUGGUGUGGUGGAAAUUUUUUCGGUGUGGGAUGAGCUCGCGGCCUAUCAGCUUGUUGGUGGGGUAAUGGCCUACCAAGGCGUCGACGAGUAGCCGGCCUGAGAGGGGGUACGGCCACAUUGGGACUGAGAGUCGGCCCAGACUCCGACGGGAGCGAGAAGUAGGGGAGAGUGAACAAGGGGCGCGAGCCUGAUGCUGAGACGCCGCGGGGGGGAGAACGGCGUUGGGGUUGGAGACGCAGUGCGCUAGGGACGAAGCGGAAUGUGACGGUACCUGGAGAAGAAGCACCGGCUAACUACGUG